rnacentral:tRNA from 1 species
ACCUGACUGGCUCAGUUGAUGGAGCAUGUGACUCUUGAUCUCAUAGUUGUGAGUUCAAACCCCAUGUUGGUCA